rnacentral:tRNA from 1 species
GGACGUGUAGCUCAGCGGGAGAGCACCUCGUUGACAUCGAGGGGUCACAGGUUCAAUCCCUGUCACGUCCACCA